CUCAGACCCCUGGUCUCCGGCGUCCUCUUCGGGUUCUGGCGCCGCUCUGCAGACUUGGGAGUGUGGGGCAACCCGGGCAGUGGACGCAGUUAGCCUCGGAGGCUUCAGCACAUUGCGGUCAUCACCUUCUAGGUUUGCUGGAACCACGGCCUUGCAGUUGCCUCGCCACCAGCGCUGAGGAUCCAACCCAAGACUUGGCCAUGUUAGGCAAGCACUCCUGAUUAUUGUUUUUAUAACCUAACAGCUAGUUAGAAACAUGGAGCCUGAAACUGAAGGGCCACCGCCAACAAUCCAAGUGACACCUCUUCAGCAAAUGAUGGCCUCCUGUGCUGGGGCUGUAGUGACAUCACUAAUGGUGACACCCCUGGAUGUUGUUAAAAUUCGACUCCAAGCCCAGAACAACCCAUUCCCUAAAGGCAAGUGUUUUCUGUACAGUAAUGGACUCAUGGAUCACAUAUGUAUCUGUGAAGAGGAGAGCAAGAAAGCAUGGUAUAAGAAGCCAGGAAACUUCCAUGGGACUCUGG
rnacentral:lncRNA from 1 species